rnacentral:rRNA from 1 species
AGGAUAAACGCUGGCGGCGUGCCUAACACAUGCAAGUCGAACGUCCUACUCCGCAAGGGGUAGGGAGUGGCGGACGGGUGAGUACCACGUGGGUUAUCUGCCUUUAGGUGAGGAAUACCGGCGAGAAAUCGCCGACAAUACCGCAUAACUUUGGAAACAAAGAAAGCUCCGCAAGGGGUGCCUGAGGAGGAGCCUGCGCCCGAUUAGUUGGUUGGUGGGGUAAUGGCCUACCAAGACGACGAUCGGUAGCUGGUCUGAGAGGAUGAUCAGCCACACUGGGAUUGAGAACGGCCCAGACUCCUACGGGGGGCAGCAGUGAGGAAUUUUCGGCAAUGGGGGCAACCCUGACCGAGCAACGCCGCGUGCAGGAUGACAGUCUUCGGAUUGUAAACUGCUUUUCUCGGGGAAGAGAAUGGACGGUACCCGAGGAAGAGCCCCGGCUAACUACGUGCCAGCAGCCGC